rnacentral:rRNA from 1 species
AUGCAAGUCGAGCGGUAAGGCCUUUCGGGGUACACGAGCGGCGAACGGGUGAGUAACACGUGGGUGAUCUGCCCUGCACUUCGGGAUAAGCCUGGGAAACUGGGUCUAAUACCGGAUAUGACCUCCUAUCGCAUGGUGGGUGGUGGAAAGAUUUAUCGGUGCAGGAUGGGCCCGCGGCCUAUCAGCUUGUUGGUGGGGUAAUGGCCUACCAAGGCGACGACGGGUAGCCGACCUGAGAGGGUGACCGGCCACACUGGGACUGAGACACGGCCCAGACUCCUACGGGAGGCAGCAGUGGGGAAUAUUGCACAAUGGGCGAAAGCCUGAUGCAGCGACGCCGCGUGAGGGAUGACGGCCUUCGGGUUGUAAACCUCUUUCAGCAGGGACGAAGCGCAAGUGACGGUACCUGCAGAAGAAGCACCGGCUAACUACGUGCCAGCAGCCGCGGUAAUACGUAGGGUGCAAGCGUUGUCCGGAAUUACUGGGCGUAAAGAGUUCGUAGGCGGUUUGUCGCGUCGUUUGUGAAAACCAGCAGCUCAACUGCUGGCUUGCAGGCGAUACGGGCAGACUUGAGUACUGCAGGGGAGACUGGAAUUCCUGGUGUAGCGGUGAAAUGCGCAGAUAUCAGGAGGAACACCGGUGGCGAAGGCGGGUCUCUGGGCAGUAACUGACGCUGAGGAACGAAAGCGUGGGUAGCGAACAGGAUUAGAUACCCUGGUAGUCCACGCCGUAAACGGUGGGCGCUAGUGUGGUUCUUCACGGAAUCGUGCCGUACUACGCAUUAACGCCCGCCUGGGAUACGGCGCAGGCUAAACUCAAAGAAUGACGGGCCCCCAGCGCGACAU